UUACGACCACAUCACGUUGAAACCCCGGUUCUCAUAGGAUCACCGAACCUAAACCACGCCGAGCCUGGUUAGUACCCAGAUGGGUGACCGCAUUGGAAUACCAGAUGUCGUAAG